GACGAACGCUGGCGGCGUGCUUAACACAUGCAAGUCGAACGGAAAGGCCCUGCUUUUGUGGGGUGCUCGAGUGGCGAACGGGUGAGUAACACGUGAGUAACCUGCCCUUGACUUUGAGAUAACUUCAGGAAACUGGGGCUAAUACCGGAUAGGAGCUCCUGCUGCAUGGUGGGGGUUGGAAAGUUUCGGCGGUUGGGGAUGGACUCGCGGCUUAUCAGCUUGUUGGUGGGGUAGUGGCUUACCAAGGCUUUGACGGGUAGCCGGCCUGAGAGGGUGACCGGCAACAUGGGGCUGGAGAGAGGCCCGGGACUCCAGGGGGGGGAAGCGGGGGGGAUUUUGGAAGAGGGGGAGGAACCCUAAGGCAGCAGCGCCGGGGGGGGGGGGGGGGCUUUGGGGUUUAAACCCGCUUUCGCUUGGGACAGAGGGUGGGUGAGGGAAAGGGGUAAAGAAGCACCGGCUAACUACGUG
rnacentral:rRNA from 1 species